rnacentral:rRNA from 1 species
UACGUAGGGUGCAAGCGUUAAUCGGAAUUACUGGGCGUAAAGCGUGCGCAGGCGGUUAUGCAAGACAGAUGUGAAAUCCCCGGGCUCAACCCGGGAACUGCAUUUGUGACUGCAUGGCUGGAGUGCGGCAGAGGGGGAUGGAAUUCCGCGUGUAGCAGUGAAAUGCGUAGAUAUGCGGAGGAACACCGAUGGCGAAGGCAAUCCCCUGGGCCUGCACUGACGCUCAUGCACGAAAGCGUGGGGAGCAAACAGG